CAGUAGCCACGGUAAUACAGAGGGUGCGAGCGUUAAUCGGAUUUACUGGGCGUAAAGGGCGCGUAGGCGGUUUAGUGAGUGUGAUGUGAAAGCCCCGGGCUUAACCUGGGAAGUGCAUCGCAAACGACUAAACUGGAGUAUAAGAGAGGGUGGCGGAAUUUCCGGUGUAGCGGUGAAAUGCGUAGAGAUCGGAAGGAACGUCAAUGGCGAAGGCAGCCACCUGGCUUAAUACUGACGCUGAGGCGCGAAAGCGUGGGGAUCAAACAGGAUUAGAUACCCCCGUAGUCCCUGUCUCUUAUAA
rnacentral:rRNA from 1 species